UACGUAGGUGGCAAGCGUUGUCCGGAUUUACUGGGUGUAAAGGGCGUGUAGCCGGGCUGACAAGUCAGAUGUGAAAUCCGGGGGCUCAACCCCCGAACUGCAUUUGAAACUGUUGGUCUUGAGUAUCGGAGAGGCAGGCGGAAUUCCUAGUGUAGCGGUGAAAUGCGUAGAUAUUAGGAGGAACACCAGUGGCGAAGGCGGCCUGCUGGACGACAACUGACGGUGAGGCGCGAAAGCGUGGGGAGCGAACAGG
rnacentral:rRNA from 1 species